rnacentral:sRNA from 1 species
GCCGGGCAUGGUGGUGCACGCCUGUAAUCCCAGCGGCUCUGGAGGCUGAGGCAGGAGGAUCACGAAUUCAAAAUGAGCCUCAGCAACAGCAAGACACUAAGCAAUUCAGUGAGACCUGGUCUUAA